rnacentral:misc_RNA from 1 species
GAUGAAGAACGCAGUGAAAUGCGAUAAGUAAUGUGAAUUGCAGAAUUCAGUGAAUCAUCGAAUCUUUGAACGCACAUUGCGCCCGCCAGUAUUCUGGCGGGCAUGCCUGUUCGAGCGUCAUUUCAACCAUCAAGCCCCCGGCUUGUGUUGGGGACCUGCGGCUGCCGCAGGCCCUGAAAACCAGUGGCGGGCUCGCUGUCACACCGAGCGUAGUAGAUUUUAAUCUCGCUCAGGGCGUGCUGCGGGUUCCGGCCGUAAAAAGCCUUAUUUACCCAAGGUUGACCUCGGAUCAGGUAGGAAGACCCGCUGAACUUAAGCAUAUCAAUAAGCGGAGGA